CUUUUUAUAAGGGCAUGUUUGUUUGGCUAAAAGUGAAGCAACGAAAGUGACAUUUUUAGAAAGUGACAUCUUAUCGGUUGGUUGGUUUGUGAAAGUGAAUAUAAAAGUCACUUUAUAAAAAUGAGCUGAUAAAGUGAAUUAUAAUUAAGUCUCACUUUUUUGACUUCAGCUCAAAAAAUACGAAAGUCACCGAAAGUGAAAAGCUUAGCUAAGGGGUUAUAUUUGGUUAUAACUUUAAUCUUUGAACUUAUUUUUAAAAUUAAAUUU
rnacentral:lncRNA from 1 species